AGAGAGGGGGGGGAGAGAGCGAAUCCGCCGGGGAAAUGAACCCGUAAACCUGGCCCUUGAACGCGCGCGCUUCACUCAGUUCCGAGUGCAAAUGGAGCUCCCCCUGGUGCUCAUUAACGGCACCGCGCCCAGGUCAUCACCCCGACCCCGUCUGACCCUCCCCUGUGCCGAAAAACAGCGCUGUCACAUUCGCACCCAAGACCCACCUGUCGCAUUUCCCUGAGAACGAACACUGCGCUCUUCCACCUGUUCACCUCGUCCUUACCUGCCGUUCACCUCGUCCUCACCUGGCGCUCACCUGGAGCUCACCUGGCGUAACCCCCACGCAGGGGAGAGCCCUGGGAACUUUCUAGAACGGCACGCGGUUUAUUAUUAGGCACCGCGACCCGAACAGACCUGCUGGGCUGCAGGUAGCGCCGGUGCCAGGAUGGAGGACAGCGUCCCCAGCAGGUACGCGGCUGCCAGGUGUGCACCUGCUCCACCUGCAGCCACCUGCUCCACCUCGGCCAGAUUAGCCCUCUUUGUGAUGUGUGUGCAGCGGCUGUUCACAACAGCCGUCGGAGGACAAUAGACUCCGAACUUUCUCACAGUCGCACGGUUCAUUACUGGAGUCCCCGGCUCUCUGACUGAACGCAGGGAAACCAUGAAAAGCCUUUAUAAUGUCGAGCCUCUGUUUGACCAUCUGCUGGAAUCCCCCGAUGAUAUAAACCUUGGGGGGGUUUCGCCCUUCCAGUUUGUGUUUGUUUGUUUAUUUGUCAGGGAGAUGAUGAGAAGGAAGCAUUGUUGAAAUAAAAAAAAAUCAAUUUCAGAGGAA